rnacentral:sRNA from 1 species
UGAUUUGUCCGAUUUUUAGUUAAGCUAAA